GUGGGGAAUAUUGGACAAUGGGGGAAACCCUGAUCCAGCGACGCCGCGUGAACGAUGAAGUAUUUCGGUAUGUAAAGUUCUAUCAGCAGGGAAGAAAAUGACGGUACCUGACUAAGAAGCCCCGGCUAACUACGUGCCAGCAGCCGCGGUAAUACGUAGGGGGCAAGCGUUAUCCGGAUUUACUGGGUGUAAAGGGAGCGCAGGCGGUAGAUCAAGUCUGAUGUGAAAACCCGAGGCUCAACCUCGGGAUUGCAUUGGAAACUGGUUUACUUGAGUGUCGGAGAGGUAAGCGGAAUUCCUAGUGUAGCGGUGAAAUGCGUAGAUAUUAGGAGGAACACCAGUGGCGAAGGCGGCUUACUGGACGAUAACUGACGCUGAGGCUCGAAAGCGUGGGGAGCAAACAGG
rnacentral:rRNA from 1 species